rnacentral:rRNA from 1 species
UACGUAGGUGGCAAGCGUGGUCCGGAUUUACUGGGCGUAAAGAGCGCGUAGGCGGUUUGUCGCGUCGGGAGUGAAAACCUCGGGCUUAACUCGGGGCUUGCUUUCGAUACGGGCAGACUGGAGGUAUGCAGGGGAGAACGGAAUUCCUGGUGUAGCGGUGAAAUGCGCAGAUAUCAGGAGGAACACCGGUGGCGAAGGCGGUUCUCUGGGCAUGACCUGACGCUGAGGAGCGAAAGUGUGGGGAGCGAACAGG